GAUCUGCUUUCUCUAUCAUGUGUUUGUAUAACAGAAAAGCCAGGAGUGUGUCCAAGCAGUAACCUAGGAGUGUGUGCUGAGUUGUGUUCCCAAGACGGUAACUGUCCGAAUGAUGAGAAAUGCUGCAGCAAUGGAUGUGGACAUCAGUGUAUGCCUCCAUAUAAAGAAAAGCCAGGAGUGUGUCCAAGCAGUAACCUAGGAGCGUGUGCUGAGAUGUGUUUCCAAGAUGGUGAGUGUCCGAAUGGUGAGAAAUGCUGCAGCAAUGGAUGUGGACAUCAGUGUAUGGCUGUAUCUAAAGUAAAGCCAGGAGUGUGUCCAA